GCGGAUGGCUGGAUGACCGCGGGCGGCAACGUCCGAGGAAAGUCCGGACUCCAUGAAGCAAGGGUGCCGGGUAACCCCCGGCGGGGGCAACCCCAGGGAAAGCGCCACAGAGAACAGACUUCCCUGUUGUUUGAGAAGGUUCGCCUUCGGCUUGGCAGGGAACAGGUGAAACGGUGGGGUAAAAGCCCACCGCGGACCGGGCAACCGGGACGGCACGGCAAGCCCCACCCGGAGCAAUGCCGAAUAGGGGCCUUGCGUGGGACCGGUCCGAUGGCGAAAGCCGGGGGAAACCGCCACAGGAACGCUUCAGCCCAAAGGCCCGGGUUGGCAGCUUGACCGCCCUGGCAACAGGUGCGGCAGAGGAAUGGUCAUCCAGAGGCGCAAGCCUUGGACAGAAUCCGGCUUACAGGCCAUCCGCGCAU
rnacentral:RNase_P_RNA from 1 species